UCCAAAUCUGUGGCCAUAUUGCUCCUUAAUUAACCCCAAAUCUGAUUCAUAUUUUCGAAAUCACUUAAUUCGUGAUGAAUCAACUUUAAAUCGUGAUUUCAUCCCUAAGCUCUCCAUCUCUUUUAAUUCGUGUUUCUUACGGCCUCUUCAGAUGUUGGUCCUGUCAACCCCCCCUUUCUUCCUGUUUCAUCUUCUCCAAUUUGUUUACGAGCAGUUCGUGAUUCGGUUUCUCGCGGCCUCAUCGACUCAGACUUAGAACGAUGCUCCACCAAUAAGAUCGUGAGAUCGCAGUGCAGAACGGAGGAGGUUGAAUCUGGAAAGUUCAUAAGGAAAUAUGAGAAAACCGUAGAGCUUAUCCGCAACUGCGUCGGAAGGGUUUACCAUACCAAUUAGUGUUACCCUUCAAGAAUUACGGCAGAGACUUGAGGACUUAGGAGCAAAGCUCCAACUGUGGAAGUGAUGCUCAAGAAUUUGACUAUUGAGGUUGAUUCCUAUGUUGUCAGCACUCAGCAGAGCUUUGCCAAACCUACCAAGCUCUGCAUUGAACAUUGUAGAAAUACUUCUUGGUGCCUGUGGGAUUAGUACUGCUACGAGAACAAAGCUCAUACUUCCAAAUUUUUCUUCAUUGUUACGAGAUAUAUAGGCUUCAUUGCACAGCGACUUGAUGCUCACUCACCUAGCAACAACUGAUUCAUGUAUCAGUUUACUGAAUUUCUUAUGUUCAUUAUUGAGUGCUACUCGAUCGGUGAUUCAUCCUCCCGAGAAAUUGAGUAUCAUAGUGCCACUAAUCCAAAGAAGACAUCGUGGGUUGGAAAUGGAGAGAAGAGUAAAGGCAGAAUGAGAAAGGAGUAAAGGAUUGCCUUCCACCAAGGGUAAUAACCAACCAACAAGGUGCCUGAACAUAUUGCAAGAUUUUGAAAAGUGACAACUCGGAUAAAAUGGCAGUGUCUAAGCUCAUGUCUAUGUUUUAAUAUAUUCAUUAAGUUAGUCUUAUUGAUGGUUGUAUGUUGUGCCAUCCUUACUAAGGUCUUUUUGCUUAGUGAAGUUCAAGCUUUUUAUUCA